UACGUAGGGUGCGAGCGUUGUCCGGAAUUAUUGGGCGUAAAGAGCGUGUAGGCGGCUUUACAGGUCCGUUGUGAAAACUCGAGGCUCAACCUCGAGACGCCGGUGGAAACCGUAAAGCUAGAGUCCGGAAGAGGAGAGUGGAAUUCCUGGUGUAGCGGUGAAAUGCGCAGAUAUCAGGAAGAACACCCGUGGCGAAGGCGGCUCUCUGGGGACGGUACUGACGCUGAGACGCGAAAGCGUGGGGAGCGAACAGG
rnacentral:rRNA from 1 species